AUUGAACGCUGGCGGCAGGCUUAACACAUGCAAGUCGAGCGGAGAUGAGGUGCUUGCACCUUAUCUUAGCGGCGGACGGGUGAGUAAUGCUUAGGAAUCUGCCUAUUAGUGGGGGACAACAUUCCGAAAGGAAUGCUAAUACCGCAUACGGCCUACGGGAGAAAGCAGGGUAUCUUCGGACCUUGCGUCAAUAGAGGAGCCUAAGUCGGAUUAGCUAGUUGGGGGGGUAAAGGACUACCAAGGCGACGAUCUGUAGCGGGUCUGAGAGUAUGAUCCGCCACACUGGGACUGAGACACGGCCCAGACUCCUACGGGAGGCAGCAGUGGGGAAUAUUGGACAAUGGGCGGAAGCCUGAUCCAGCCAUGCCGCGUGUGUGAAGAAGGCCUUUUGGUUGUAAAGCACUUUAAGCGAGGAGGAGGCUACCUGGAUUAAUACUCUAGGAUAGUGGACGUUACUCGCAGAAUAAGCACCGGCUAACUCUGUGCCAGCCGCCGCCGUAAAAC
rnacentral:rRNA from 1 species